AGUGAACGCUGGCGGCGUGCCUAAUACAUGCAAGUCGAACGGCGUGGCGCACGGGUGAGUAAUAUAUAGCUAAUCUGCCCCUUGCUGGAGGACAACAGUUAGAAAUGACUGCUAAUACCCCAUAGCAAGGGAUGAGACUAUAUCGUAUCAGGUAGUCGGUGGGGUAACGGCCUACCGAGGCUAUGACGCGUAACUGGGCUGAUAGGAGGAUCAGCCACAUUGGAACUGAGACACGGUCCAAACUCCUACGGGAGGCAGCAGUAGGGAAUAUUGCGCAAUGGGCGAGACCCUGACGCACCAACGCCGCGUGGAGGAUGACACUUUUCGGAGCGUAAACUACUGUUGUUAGGGAAGCGGUACCGAACGAAGAAGCACCGGCUAACUCCGUGCCAGCCGCCGCGGUAAUUC
rnacentral:rRNA from 1 species